rnacentral:rRNA from 1 species
AGGACGAACGCUGGCGGCGUGCUUAACACAUGCAAGUCGAACGGGGUAUUUCUCAGUGGUAACACUGAGGGAUAUCUAGUGGCGAACGGGUGAGUAACACGUGAGUAACCUGCCUCGAAGACCGGGAUAACACUGGGAAACCAAUGCUAAUACCGGGUACCCCCAUUGGAUCGCAUGGUCCGAUGAGGAAAUGGAUUCCGCUUCGGGAGGGGCUCGCGACCUAUCAACUAGUUGGUGGGGUAAUGGCCUACCAAGGUGACGACGGGUAGCUGGUCUGAGAGGACGAUCAGCCACACUGGGACUGAGACACGGCCCAGACUCCUACGGGAGGCAGCAGUGGGGAAUCUUGCGCAAUGGGCGAAAGCCUGACGCAGCAACGCCGCGUGAGGGAUGAAUGCCUUCGGGUUGUAAACCUCUUUCAGCAGGGACGAUUGUGACGGUACCUGCAGAGAAGCCCGGCCACGUACGCGCCAGCAGCCGCGGU